GCUAUGAGAGUUUGUAAAUGAGUGGAAUUUACUUUUCUAUGCAAUCGCUUUCAUUUUCAUUGAUUAAAAUGUUCAACACUCAACUUUGCUUUUGCACUUACGUUCUGCACCUCUAAUUUAAUUUGUGUUUCUGGUUUCCAUCUUUUAAGUUCAUUCAGUUUAGAUUGAAUAGAGAAAGGUUUCUCAUUGAAAUUCUCAAUAUAUAUACUUGUGUGAUGGUCAGUUUUGUUUUGGUGUGAGAUGCAUGCUUAUAUGCCAUUAUGGAAGCUGUGAAAGUAGGGUACAUUACUUUAGUAUUGUCUUUACUUGGACAUGACCUUUCUCUGUUAUUUUCUCACCUGAUGAAUAACUUUUGGUAAAGGAUGCNUUUGGUUCAGUGAAACUUUGUUUACGAAUAUGAAUUAUUAUGAGAGCCUCACAUUAAUUAAUUUUCAUGGAGUAUGUAUUUAAAUAAUUAACUAUUAUUUCACCCUAAUAUAUUCUUUCAGUGAUUGCUAUAGAUGAUUAUUUAUCUUGUAAAUAUGAUAUUCACUGAUUGCUACUGCACUUUUUUUUAAUGUUGUCGUGGGUAUAAUUGGGUUGCAUUUCCAUCUUUUAGGCCCCAAGAGGGUGAAGUUAUUUUCUAACAAGGAGAAUAUGGGAUUUAGGAAUAGUGUUUUUUUGGCAAAUCUCUGUGUCUCGGCACUUUUGUCACGGGAUUCAAUUAGUUGUUGAAUCCUUUCUAUCAGGUUCGAUUACUCAUCCUUUCUCAUCUANAACUUUUAGUUUCUUCUACUAUUAGUGUAGAACUAUUAAAUUCAUUACUAAUUGUAUUAUUAUCUUCUUCCCCUAAUUUUGUUUCUCAUCAUUGAUUUCUCUAAAACCUCAGACAUGGCAAUAAUGAUAUUGAGGUUUCUAUUAAGCUUUAUUGAUUUGAUGAUCUCAAUUUUUGCGGAUGGACAUGACAAUAGGUUUGCUUAUGUUACUUUUACCUUUGUGAAACAUGAGAAGGAUCAAUAAGGUAUGCUUAGAUAUGCAUAAACAAGUCAAUUUUCUUCAAUGUGAUAUAUGAUUGCAGGCUAUAUAUAGGGAGAAUAUCAAAUAAAAGUAACUACAAGUGCCCUGGCCUUGUUGCUAACCAGCAGGUACAACGAAUUAGGAAAAAUACNUGUCCAAGCCAUCUAAUUAAGGUAUUACUAUUAUAUAAUUUAUUUCUUUGUUCCCUUUUUUCUUCAACCUGGGGUGGGAGUACUUUUGUUGAUUUCCCAAGCUUAUUGCCUCGUGAAGUCUGGUGAGGGACCAGAAGAUCAAAAGCUAAAUCAACUCUGAAUCAAUGGUAAUAUUACCACUUCCCACCAAGGUAAUUCUUUUCAUUAUACAUAGUUGUUUGAACAUGUUAUGUUGACAUCCAAUUAUAUUACUAAUUGACUGGAGAGAAUAAUGAACCAAAGUUUUAUUGAUCAAUAUUUUGUGAGUUAUAUUUGUUGUGAGUUUUAGAGUUUAAAGUGUUAUCUUUGAUGAAUGGUAUGAUCCAGAAAGCUUUGAAAAGCCAUUCCUUGUAUGCAUAUCUGAAUUUUAUGCUGCUGAAGGUGUGAAAUACAUGCAUCAAUCAGAUGCUCCAGAUUAUUUGAAGCAUGUGGAGGUGUUUUCUUUUUCAUAGUCCGUUGUAUUAUUUUAUUGGCUUUAGUUUUUUACUAAAUUGUUUAAUAAAUGGAUUNUGUCAUUCAAUAUCAGAGUUUGAUCUUAUAAAAGUUAUCUUUCUUUUUCAAUUCUUCCCUUGCNCAUAUUGUGUACUUAUUGCAGGGAUGUUUGUGGGUGCUUCUUCUGCAGAUAUGAUUGCAAGAAGAACAUGAAAGAUGUUUGAUUUUCCAGAUAAGACUGUCCACAUUAGUCCAAGUCUUUCUUCAGCACUUAGCAAGUUUUAGUGGAUACGACCCUCACCGGGAUCGUGCCAGUCUCGGGUAUAUAUUAUCANGCUUCCCAUUGAAAUUGUUUGGCACCCUUGCUUUUCCAAAGGAGAGGUGUUGUUGUGUUAGUUUUCAUUUAAUAAAUAUCCCAAGACAGAAAGCCCCAGCCAAUCUUCUGGAAAUAUCUCAACCUAAUAUAGGCAUGAAUAAGAACUGUUACUGCUGUAUGAUUAUGUUUUGUACUAUAAAGAAUCUUCUGAAUGUUGAUCGGGUGAUGUGCCUGAGGGUAAAAUCCUCAAACAACGGCCUAUCCUGAUUGCAGCGUCAAUGCGGAGCUAUGGAGCUUAUUUAGCUUACAGUCAGAGUACAGGAAUUUUGUUGAAAUGCCAUCAAUGAAUUGGAGAGAGUGGCUGACAACUGGUUUGGGGCGUGUUGUUACUCUUUUAGAGGAGUAAGUGAGAAGAUGGUGAUGAGGUAUGUCAGUUCAUAUACAUGCAUGCUGGGGGUCUAUCUAUUAACUUCUGCUUCUAUCACUAUUUGCAAGGAUAAUAUUGUGGAAUAUAAUUUUCCAGAAGGGUGUGGAAAGCAAAAAUGUACUUAUGUAGCAGAAAACCCGAGAGAUGAUGGUAUUCAACCCUAAAAUACUCUAAAAUGACACACAUCUAGAAUCCUCUACCAGGGUGGUUGAGUUUGUUUAUGUUACUGUUAGAAUAUAAAGAAUCAAGAGACUAAUACUACAUUACUAGUAUAAAAGUAAGGGUGAUUACUCUCUACUUUUGAAAUUUGUUUGCUUCUUUAUUAGGCUCAUCACCUUAAUUUGAUGCAUUUGUAAAACCAAUAAUAUAUAGUGAUCAGUAGUUAUUGUCCAUUGGCAUGCUAUAUCAGCUUGAGUGUUUUCUAUUUACCUUUCUAUUAUU